ncrna:Mageeibacillus indolicus TPII9-5 malK-I RNA
AGAACAACAACCGCCCCUCUCCAUAAUCCGGGGCAACUCAAACAGGAGGUUCCGCACAUCGGCGGUGCGACAAUGUGGAGACGUGUCGUAAAGUCUGAGGGUUCGACCCCCUCAAGGCAAGGUAAAUGAGCAGAGGCGAAUUUAUCACGAUGGGUAGAUAUGGCA